rnacentral:rRNA from 1 species
AUGAACGCUGGCGGCGUGCCUAAUACAUGCAAGUCGAGCGAACGGACGAGAAGCUUGCUUCUCUGAUGCUAGCGGCGGACGGGUGAGUAACACGUGGAUAACCUACCUAUAAGACUGGGAUAACUUCGGGAAACCGGAGCUAAUACCGGAUGAUAUUUUGAACCGCAUGGUUCAAAAGUGAAAGACGGUCUUGCUGUCACUUAUAGAUGGAUCCGCGCUGCAUUAGCUAGUUGGUAAGGUAACGGCUUACCAAGGCAACGAUGCAUAGCCGACCUGAGAGGGUGAUCGGCCACACUGGAACUGAGACACGGUCCAGACUCCUACGGGAGGCAGCAGUAGGGAAUCUUCCGCAAUGGGCGAAAGCCUGACGGAGCAACGCCGCGUGAGUGAUGAAGGUCUUCGGAUCGUAAAACUCUGUUAUUAGGGAAGAACAUAUGUGUAAGUAACUGUGCACAUCUUGACGGUACCUAAUCAGAAAGCCACGGCUAACUACGUG